rnacentral:lncRNA from 12 species
AUUUGAUCCAUUUAUAUCCCGAAUUCUUUAGGAAAAUAUAAAGCUUGGGAGAAGACAAAACACCUUCUUUUUUAUAUGACAUAAUGGGGCACUGAAAGAUUAGGGUCACAAUGUCAAAAAUUCUGAAGUCCUGUUUAGACUGCAGGACAGAAGACUGGACUUUGAAAAAUGUUUAACUGUAUUGGCCCUAAGCUAUUCCAAAUAUCUGAUCAUAAGAACUGGAGCAGAAACAGGUUGAUGCUGUGCUCACUUGAAACCUAGCAGUGGAAAAUAGAGAAGCUGUUUUGAAAAUCUGUUUUACUGCAGGAGAUAAAUGUGGAUGCUGACAUUUAACCCAGAAUGUACGCAAAACAUCUUUCUGGGUUUUUGUAAGUAUUUUUGAUAGGCAGCGGGUAAAGGGGAAAGAAACAGAAUGACUUAAAAGUGAUUAGGAUGGAGAGGAAUAAGGCCAGCAGGAUAGCAGGUGUAGGAAGAAAAUGCCAUGGACAGUACAUUGAUGGUAGUUAAAGAUGCAGCCCAUCAAAAGUAGUCAAAAUGAUGAGAUGCUGGAAGCAGUAAAAAAAGGGAAUUAUUUUUCCCACAGGUGUUGCUGUUGAGCAAAAAUUGGAAGAAAACUGUGAGGGUCAAUAGACUGAGAAAAUGAUCCUGCCCAUCAUCACAGGAAACCAUAACCCUCACCACUGUGGGACAGGAGUGAGCAGCAAUGAUCAGCUUCGCUGCCUUAGGAGCAGCCCCAUUAGCUAUAUUUUUCAGAUAAGUGUCACUGAUAACAUGCAAAUCAGAAUCUGUUAA